rnacentral:rRNA from 1 species
AUGGAGUCUACGACAGCUAGAGACGUUCAGAACGCGUUCCUCCAUGGUGUUCUGGAAGAAGAGGUUUACAUGAAACAACCUCCUGGGUUUGUAAAUGCACAGGCACCACUUCAUGUGUGCAAACUUGACAAGGCCUUGUAUGGACUGAAACAGGCUCCAAGAGCGGGGUAUUCUCGCCUCAGUAAAAAGAUGCAAGCACUUGGUUUUAUUCCUUCAAAGUCUGACACUUCGUUAUUCAUUUAUAACAAGUCAAAAGUAUCCAUAUUUGUUCUCAUUUAUGUUGAUGACAUAAUUGUUACAAGCUCAUCUGAUGAGGCAAUAACAGCACUGUUGAAGGAUUUAAGUGCAGAAUUUGCUCUCAAAGAUCUAGGAGAUCUACACUACUUUCUUGGUAUUGAGGUUAAGCAGCACAAGGAUGGUCUUCAUCUCUCUCAAGAAAAGUAUGCAACAGACUUAGUGAAAAAGGCUGGUCUGCAAAGUUGUAAGCCUGCACCCACUCCUUUAUCUAGCACAUAA